rnacentral:lncRNA from 1 species
CUGCCCGGGGCCGGGGGAAGGAAGCCAGCCGAGGAGACGCACGUGCCCUGAGUCCGGGAGCGGGGAGCCUCUUCAUCUCUCCAUCCUCCCUCCGCGCGCGCCCUCAGCCGUCCUCGUCCGCUCACCAUGCACCUCCCCUCCAAGAAAGGGCCACAUGCGUGCCAGGGACGCGAGCCCCGGCCACAGGGACAUAGCAGCCUAGAAGGUAUACCAGGAACACUUAAUCAACAUCCUGCAUGGUUCCAGCAAAGACAUUAAGACAGUUGGGACUGUUGGUGAGGACAGAUGAUCUUCACAAACCCUCUGACUCUUAAGAACCUGGGAGACCUGCUGGAGUUUACCCCACAUUCCCUUAAUUAAAAAGCCAUUAAAAUAGUCAACUUUGCUGGGCA